UGCUCUAAGGGGUAGUCCAGCUUUGGUUUACAAAAACAAUGCUUUAAGUUUAAGCUAUUAGAGC
rnacentral:tRNA from 1 species